rnacentral:rRNA from 1 species
UACGGAGGGUGCAAGCGUUAAUCGGAAUUACUGGGCGUAAAGCGUGCGCAGGCGGUUUGUUAAGUCCGUUGUGAAAGCCCCGAGCUCAACUUGGGAAUUGCAGUGGAUACUGGCAGGCUGGAGUACGGUAGAGGAAGGUGGAAUUCCCGGUGUAGCAGUGAAAUGCGUAGAUAUCGGGAGGAACACCAGUGGCGAAGGGCGGGCCCUUCGUCGGACCCA